CCUACGGUGGACAGCAGUCGAGAAUCAUUCACAAUGGGGGAAACCCUGAUGGUGCGACGCCGCGUGGGGGAAUGAAGGUCUUCGGAUUGUAAACCCCUGUCAUGUGGGAGCAAAUUAAAAAGAUAGUACCACAAGAGGAAGAGACGGCUAACUCUGUGCCAGCAGCAGCGGUAAUACAGAGGUCUCAAGCGUUGUUCGGAAUCACUGGGCGUAAAGCGUGCGUAGGCUGUUUCGUAAGUCGUGUGUGAAAGGCGCGGGCUCAACCCGCGGACGGCACAUGAUACUGCGAGACUAGAGUAAUGGAGGGGGAACCGGAAUUCUCGGUGUAGCAGUGAAAUGCGUAGAUAUCGAGAGGAACACUCGUGGCGAAGGCGGGUUCCUGGACAUUAACUGACGCUGAGGCGCGAAGGCCAGGGGAGCGAAAGGGAUUAGAUACCCCGGUAGUC
rnacentral:rRNA from 1 species